UGAGCCAGCUAAACAGUCGCUCAGCAUUAGCUGGGAGGAAAGUCCGGGCUCCAUAGGGCAGAGUGCCAGGUAACCCCUGGGAGGCGAAAGCUUACGGAAAGUGCAACAGAAAGUAUACCGCUGUCGGAAUUUCGAUAGUAAGGGUGAAAUGGUGCGGUAAGAGCGCACCGCGUUUCUGGUAACAGCAACGGCGAUGGUAAACCCCCACUCGGAGCAAGGCCAAAUAAGAAUCCUUAUCGUGUGGCCCAUACUGGAUUCGGGUAGGCUGCUUGAGAUGUGUGGUGACAACACAUCCUAGAUAGAUGACUGUUCACGACAGAACCCGGCUUAUCGGUUGGCUUUAUUU
rnacentral:RNase_P_RNA from 1 species